AUGAACGCUAGCUACAGGCUUAACACAUGCAAGUCGAGGGGCAGCAUGGUCUUAGCUUGCUAAGGCUGAUGGCGACCGGCGCACGGGUGAGUAACACGUAUCCAACCUGCCGUCUACUCUUGGCCAGCCUUCUGAAAGGAAGAUUAAUCCAGGAUGGCAUCAUGAGUUCACAUGUCCGCAUGAUUAAAGGUAUUUUCCGGUAGACGAUGGGGAUGCGUUCCAUUAGAUAGUAGGCGGGGUAACGGCCCACCUAGUCAACGAUGGAUAGGGGUUCUGAGAGGAAGGUCCCCCACAUUGGAACUGAGACACGGUCCAAACUCCUACGGGAGGCAGCAGUGAGGAAUAUUGGUCAAUGGGCGAUGGCCUGAACCAGCCAAGUAGCGUGAAGGAUGACUGCCCUAUGGGUUGUAAACUUCUUUUAUAAAGGAAUAAAGUCGGGUAUGCAUACCCGUUUGCAUGUACUUUAUGAAUAAGGAUCGGCUAACUCCGUGCCAGCAGCCGCGGUAAUACGUAGGGGGCAAGCGUUAUCCGGAUUUACUGGGUGUAAAGGGAGCGUAGACGGCACGGCAAGCCAGAUGUGAAAGCCCGGGGCUCAACCCCGGGACUGCAUUUGGAACUGCUGAGCUAGAGUGUCGGAGAGGCAAGUGGAAUUCCUAGUGUAGCGGUGAAAUGCGUAGAUAUUAGGAGGAACACCAGUGGCGAAGGCGACUUACUGGACUGAAACUGACGUUGAGGCACGAAAGUGUGGGGGGCAAACAGGAUUAGAUACCCUGGUAGUCCACACCGUAAACGAUGGAUACUAGGUGUAGGAGAUAUUAAGUCUUCUGUGCCGUCGCAAACGCAGUAAGUAUCCCACCUGGGGAGUACGGCCGCAAGGUUGAAACUCAAAGGAAUUGACGGGGGCCCGCACAAGCAGUGGAGUAUGUGGUUUAAUUCGAAGCAACGCGAAGAACCUUACCAAGUCUUGACAUCCCCCUGACCGGAACUUAACCGUUCCUUUCCUUCGGGACAGGGGAGACAGGUGGUGCAUGGUUGUCGUCAGCUCGUGCCGUGAGGUGUCGGCUUAAGUGCCAUAACGAGCGCAACCCUUGUUGUCAGUUACUAACAGGUGAUGCUGAGGACUCUGACAAGACUGCCAUCGUAAGAUGUGAGGAAGGUGGGGAUGACGUCAAAUCAGCACGGCCCUUACGUCCGGGGCUACACACGUGUUACAAUGGGGGGUACAGAGGGCCGCUACCACGCGAGUGGAUGCCAAUCCCUAAAACCCCUCUCAGUUCGGACUGGAGUCUGCAACCCGACUCCACGAAGCUGGAUUCGCUAGUAAUCGCGCAUCAGCCACGGCGCGGUGAAUACGUUCCCGGGCCUUGUACACACCGCCCGUCAAGCCAUGGGAGCCGGGGGUACCUGAAGUGCGUAACCGCGAGGAUCGUCCUAGGGUAAAACUGGUGACUGGGGCU
rnacentral:rRNA from 1 species